UACGUAGGGAGCAAGCGUUGUCCGGAAUCAUUGGGCGUAAAGCGCGCGUAGGCGGCCCUGUAAGUCCGUUGUGAAAGUCAAAGGCUCAACCUUUGAAAGCCGAUGGAUACUGCAGGGCUAGAGUCCGGAAGAGGCGAGUAGAAUUCCUGGUGUAGCGGUGGAAUGCGCAGAUAUCAGGAGGAACACCAAUAGCGAAGGCAGCUCGCUGGGACGGUACUGACGCUAAGGCGCGAAAGCGUGGGGAGCGAACAGG
rnacentral:rRNA from 1 species